GUACACUCCUGCGGGAGGCAGCAGUGGGGAAUAUUGGACAAUGGGCGCAAGCCUGAUCCAGCCAUGCCGCGUGAGUGAUGAAGGCCCUAGGGUUGUAAAGCUCUUUUGUGCGGGAAGAUAAUGACGGUACCGCAAGAAUAAGCCCCGGCUAACUUCGUGCCAGCAGCCGCGGUAAUACGAAGGGGGCUAGCGUUGCUCGGAAUCACUGGGCGUAAAGGGUGCGUAGGCGGGUCUUUAAGUCAGGGGUGAAAUCCUGGAGCUCAACUCCAGAACUGCCUUUGAUACUGAAGAUCUUGAGUUCGGGAGAGGUGAGUGGAACUGCGAGUGUAGAGGUGAAAUUCGUAGAUAUUCGCAAGAACACCAGUGGCGAAGGCGGCUCACUGGCCCGAUACUGACGCUGAGGCACGAAAGCGUGGGGAGCAAACAGGAUUAGAAACCCCUGUAGUCCCA
rnacentral:rRNA from 1 species